CCCUCGCGGGGUUCAGCCAAGCGCGGCGUCCUCCUUCCGCGGGAAGCUUUAGCCUUGUCCUUGUGUCACUGGUUUGCCAGACGCACACCAAGGAGCUCCCGCACCUUUACCCACGCUGCUAUCAUAAAGGAAGCAAAGACAAGUCUGAUUGGCUGCGCAAAAACUGCCCUUUUUGAUUUCGGGAAUCAAGGAACAGUAGAGCCCCCUCACUGACUCCUUCGAGCAGCCUUAGAUGGAUGAUAGAUGGAUGAUAGAUGAGAAAGAUAUGUCGGUAGCUAUAGAUUUAGAAAUAGAUCGAGAGAGAGGACAAUCGUUGUACCUGUUGAACUUUUCUUUACUGUGUUGUACCUAAACCCCAGCAACUUCUCUCAAGUGUUCUUCUCCCUCUUUGCUUCUUGACCCUUCGGGCAGCUAGGUAUUUGGGGAGUGCUAGCAACAUCCUCCAGGCCCCAUAUUGUGGUGACAACUGAAGGAAAGGGAGAACAAGAACGCCCUUUAUUUAAAGGGCUUUCCUUGGAGAAUGUACCUGCAGCUCCAAGGCGGCCUGAGGACGGGAGCCGGUUCCCAGGAAGCCUCUUUACCCCUCCUCUCUUAGGCGCCUCUAGGACCUCAUCGUACAGGUUUGGAUCCUUGGCUUGCACGUUGUACGCUGCAAGCGAAAGUUAUGCAUGCACCGUCUCUAUAUACUUAAGACAGCCUGUGCUGCUGCUGCGCCGCAAGCAUCUUCCUCGUCGCUUACAUCCAGGGUGUUCGCAGAGCCCCACACCUGCGAAUGGUACGGCGGCUGCAGGCUCGUCGCGCCUGUGGUUAAAUCCAGAGCUCAGUUGACGCCUCUCCCAGUAGCGGGUAAGGCAGGGGCAGUGAGGGCCUCGGGUGCCCAGCCCAGCCCCUGCAGCCUCGGAUAGAAACAUUCUGGCCGCCAGAAGCUCCAGGAUAUACUUGAUGCGACCACCUCUGGAGCCGCCACCACCCUCCUCCCUCCAACUAGCCGGUGACUCGAGCCCCUGUUCCCACCCCUCUCUCCGGGGUCCGGAAAGCCGGGAAGCGCUGGAAUGCCUCGUUCUCUCACCCUAUUGUGCCUAGGUGUUGCAAACCACUGGAGGACAGAGCUUUGCGCUUUGAUCUCAUGUCCCAGUCAUUCUUUAGCACAGAGGGGACCACUAUCAAAUCUGCAUUCUGUAUUGUGGAGAGUCUGUGAGCAACCACUAGGCAAGUCUUCCCCUUCCUGGCCUUAUCGAGAGCAUGCUGAACCACCUGGAAGAGAAAAGGACCUGUGAUUGCUUACUUGACUUAGAUGCUAAUAAAGUUACCCAAAUCAAAUUGGUAAAGAUAAUCCCUGAGGAGGAGCUGGGCACAAGUUGGGCGGCUACCAUGGCAGUGAACACUGAAAGAAAACUUUCCUGUUUUCCUUGUUUUGGCUAAUUAAGGCUAUUCUUCCAAUUAUAAUAAUGACACACACAGUUCUUCCAUGGCUGCUUGGCCUUCCACAGCAAAGAUGGUGGUGGAGGCCUAGCUUGUCUCCUAUCCCUUACUAUUUGAAGACACCAACCAACUAUUAAUAUUCAUUGAAAACCUAAGUAGGUAAUCAACUUAUGUUGAUUACCAUAUGGCCGAUAAUCACAUUUAUUUAUUUAUUUAUUUUUGAUAAUCACAUUUAAUAUUCAAAGUCCAAAGGAUUUCUUGUCAAGAACUUUAUUUGGAUUAUUGGAGGACAAGGCCACAACACAUAAAAUGCCUGAUUCUGCUUUUCAGCAAGUUUUCAAAAUUGUGGCUUUUAUUAUUACUGAACUGUAGGUUGCUGUACCUAUCUGUUUCCUGCUAACACGUAUAGCAAAGAAGAGACAGAGACAGAGGGAAGUUUUGAAGUCGAGGUAUGGAAAGUUACAGAAACCUCUACUUGGACACUAAUGGUUUCUGAGCUAUAUUGCAAAAGGCAAGUCAGCUAGAAUCUAACCUAAAAGUGCUAAUGGAAAAUCAUACAGGAGAAAGUAAACUUAUUUUGUAUUUUUCAAAAUCUGUACAUUUAUAGUAUACAUCAAACGUGUUGUCAGGGCUAACAGAGGCAGAGGGGGAGAGUUUUACUACACAUAGGUGUGUGAAAACCUAAACAAGAGAUUUUCUAAAUGCCUAUUCAGUGCUGCAAGCCAGCAGAAUGAAAAUGUUAUCACCUUUUUAAAAUGCUUAUCUCAGAGAAACUCCUAUAGUAACAGAGAAGGAUGAAGACAGUUAUUACCAUUAGAAAUAUAUGUGUUUUUAAAAAAGGAAAAAGCUAAGGCUGAUAGUAGCCUUGCUGAUAAACUAAUAUUAUGAGCACAUCAAAGGAUUCUGCUGUUAAAAUUGUGCAUUUUCCUUUCCCAAGGCACACUGUCAUUUCUGACAAAGACAGCUUGCCCAUUCCUGUGGCUAUAAAUCAUGAAAAUAUGUUCACAUUUAUUUGACUGAAUAAAAUAUUUUUUAAACAAUAAAUUAAAAUAUGAUUUCACCAAUUUUUAUAUAAUUCUAGGAAAGUUUCUGGUAGGGGCCAAAAGAACUCUAAGGUUUUAAGCAGGUAUGGAGAACUGCCUGACAUUUAGUCCCUAUGUUUAUAGUUCCCAAAGUGUGAUCCUCAGAGUCUGUGCCUCAGAAUAAUCUAGAUGUUUGCUAAAAUGUAGAUUCCUGGCCCUAUCUCAAAUCUACAAAUCUCUGGGCUAAAUAUGUGAGGUGAGACCUGGGUAUCUGCACUUUUAACCAGCUCCUUGAUUGUUAAGUUGGGAAACCACUGAUGAGAGAAUAGCACAAAGUUCUUUCUAUCUGAGGAGGGUUCUAAUAAGAGGAAGUUUUCUUUGUAAACUUCUUCCAUUCAAUUAGUUGAUUAGAUAGCCGUCUGUCACCCUGGAUUCUGGAAGGCACAGUGUCUACAAGGCCAGGUAUAAUUUAGAGUGUCUAAGGGACAACUGUAACACAGUAAUGGUAACUGGGGGCUACAGUGGGUCUCUAAGAAGGCUGGAGACUGUCGUGUUGGCAACAAAUCCCAUGUAUUCACAUUUUGCACAGCCCUGUAUUCCUAUUUCCCAGAGACUCUCCU